rnacentral:rRNA from 1 species
GACGUAGGGAGCGAGCGUUGUCCGGAUUCAUUGGGCGUAAAGAGCGCGUAGGCGGCCGUGCAAGUCGGUUGUGAAAUCCCGGGGCUCAACCCCGGGACUGCGUCCGAUACUGCACGGCUCGAGGCAGGUAGGGGAGAGUGGAAUUCCCGGUGUAGCGGUGAAAUGCGCAGAUAUCGGGAGGAACACCGGUGGCGAAGGCGGCUCUCUGGACCUGUCCUGACGCUGAGGCGCGAAAGCUAGGGGAGCGAACAGGAUUAGAUACCCUGGUAGUCCUAGCCGUAAACGUUGGGUGCUAGGUGUGGGCGGAUAUCGACCCCGUCCGUGCCGAAGCUAACGCAUUAAGCACCCCGCCUGGGGAGUACGGCCGCAAGGCUAAA